GUCGGGAGCAGGAGGAGAACCUCGCCUCGACUUGAGCAAAGUCGAAGGCCUGGACUCCUACGGGAGCCGGGCUCCACCCACGACUUCUGCAACAAGGAAGACUCCGCCUGGACUCCUACGGGAACCGGGCUCCACCCACGACUUCUGCAGCACGGAAGACUCCGCCCGCCCUGGCGAUGGCCCUUACGUGCCCCCGCGGGAAUGGGAGGAGAACCUCAUCCUGACGGUGACGAAACCCGACCGCCCAAC
rnacentral:lncRNA from 1 species